rnacentral:ncRNA from 1 species
UAGAAAAAGUUUAAUUUUAGCUGAUAUUUAAUUAAAAUUUUAUUUUACAUGUAAAUUUUUGUGGGGAUAAUUAAAAAUCUUAAUGAUAAAACUUAUUUUAUUCGCAGUAUUUAGUAUUAUAUAUGAAUGAAUAUUUGAUUUAGUAAAAGUUAAUUAGCACAGGAUAAAUUUGUGCCAGCAUCUGCGGUUAUACAAAUUGUGCAAAUUAAAUUUAUUAGUAAAUAGUUAAUUUUUAAAAAAAAUUUUAAAGAAUAUGAUUUUAGGUGAAAUUUAAUUGUAUUUAAAAAUUGUUUAUGAAAUGAGGCUAUUAAAUUUAAAAAUAAACUAGGAUUAGAUACCCUAUUAUUAUAAAUAUAAAUUUGAUAUACUAAGGUAGUACUUGUUAUUUUCUCAAAACUUAAAAAAUUUGGCGGUAGUUUAGUCUUUUUAGAGGAACCUGUCCCGUAAUCGAUAGUCCACGAUAGAUUUUACUUACUUUAUUAGUUUAUAUACCGUCGUUACCAGAAGAUUUUAUAAGAAUUUAAUUUUCUAGGUUUUUGAUUAGAAUAAAUUUCAGAUCAAGGUGUAGCUGAUAGGUAAGAGGAGAUGGGUUACAAUAGGUUUAUUAAUACGCAUAAUUAUUUGUAAAAUUAAUUUGAAGGUGGAUUUAAUAGUAAAUUUAAUUAAAUAAUUAAAUUGAUUUUAGCUCUAAACUAUGCACAUAUCGCCCGUCGCUCUUUCUCUAAAGAAAGAUAAGUCGUAACAAAGUAGGUGUACUGGAAAGUGUACCUAGAAAG